AUAUAUAUAUAUGUAUAUAUAUAUGUGUGUGUGUGUGUGUGUGUGUGUGUAUAUAUAUAUAUAUAUACACACACAAUAUAAUUUACAAUAAUAUAUA
rnacentral:miRNA from 11 species